AUUGAACGCUGGCGGCAUGCCUUACACAUGCAAGUCGAACGGUAACAGGUUAAGCUGACGAGUGGCGAACGGGUGAGUAAUAUAUCGGAACGUGCCCAGUCGUGGGGGAUAACGUAGCGAAAGCUACGCUAAUACCGCAUACGAUCUAUGGAUGAAAGCGGGGGACCGCAAGGCCUCGCGCGAUUCGAGCGGCCGAUAUCAGAUUAGGUAGUUGGUGGGGUAAAGGCCCACCAAGCCGACGAUCUGUAGCUGGUCUGAGAGGACGACCAGCCACACUGGGACUGAGACACGGCCCAGACUCCUACGGGAGGCAGCAGUGGGGAAUUCUGGACAAUGGGCGCAAGCCUGAUCCAGCAAUGUCGCGUGCAGGAUGAAGGCCUUCGGGUUGUAAACUGCUUUUGUACGGAGCGAAAAGGCUCUCACUAAUACUGGGGGCUCAUGACGGUACCGUAAGAAUAAGCACCGGCUAACUACGUGCCAGCCGCCGCGGUAA
rnacentral:rRNA from 1 species